GCAGCGGGUCGUGGCGACAUUGCGAACUUGAGGACUGGUGAUGUGGCUAGCAGGGAAACUUUGGCAGUGAACCUUGGCAACAAUAUGAUCUCUCAGAACAACUUGAGGACUGGCAAUGUGGCUAGCAGGGAAAAUUUGGCGGCGAACCUUGCCAACAGUAUAAUCGCUCAGAACAACUUGAGGACUGCCGAUAUGGUUAGCAGGGAAAAUUUGGCUGCGAACCUUGGCAACAGUAUGAUCUCUCAGAGCAUUGAUGCUUCGGGCAAGGAAAUGCCAUUCAGUCGUGGUGACAAUGCU
rnacentral:lncRNA from 1 species